rnacentral:rRNA from 1 species
UACGAAGGGGGCGAGCGUUGUUCGGAAUUACUGGGCGUAAAGGGCGCGCAGGCGGCUCUGAAAGUCAGAUGUGAAAGCCCCGGGCUUAACCUGGGAAUUGCAUUUGAUACUCUGGAGCUUGAGUACGGGAGAGGAGAGUGGAAUUCCCAGUGUAGAGGUGAAAUUCGUAGAUAUUGGGAAGAACACCGGUGGCGAAGGCGGCUCCCUGGACCGUAACUGACGCUGAGGCGCGAAAGCGUGGGGAGCAAACAGG